UACGAAGGGGGCUAGCGUUGCUCGGAAUCACUGGGCGUAAAGCGCACGUAGGCGGAUCCUUAAGUCGGGGGUGAAAUCCUGGAGCUCAACUCCAGAACUGCCUUUGAUACUGGCAAUCUUGAGUCCGGAAGAGGUGAGUGGAACUCCUAGUGUAGAGGUGGAAUUCGUAGAUAUUAGGAAGAACACCAGUGGCGAAGGCGGCUCACUGGUCCGGUACUGACGCUGAGGUGCGAAAGCGUGGGGAGCAAACAGG
rnacentral:rRNA from 1 species